AUUGUAUUGUAUUGUAAUAUCAAAAGUGGUACACCUGGACAAAUGUAAUUAAAACUGGAAUGUUAUUUGUUGGUUGAUAAGAUCAAAUUAUCAACCAACAUUGUACUAUGACAUUUAAGAUCAAGAAGAACACAGAUGUUCCCCUGAAGUGUUAGGUAUAUCUCCCUUUAGUUAGGCACCUAUCUAAAGGGAGAUACACCUAACUAAAGGGAGAUAUGACUAAGUAAAGGGAGAUAUGCCUAAGUAAAGAGAGAUACCCCUAACUAAAUGGAGAUACUCCUAACUAAAGAGAGAUACCCCUAACUAAUGUUAGGCAUAUCUCUCUUUAGUUAAGUGUAUCUCCCUAUAGUUAGACGUAUUUCUCUUUAGUUAGGGGUAUCUCCCUUUAGUUAGGCAUAUCUCCCUUUAGUUAGGGGUAUCUCCCUUUAGUUAGGGGUAUCUCCCUUUAGUUAGGGGUAUCUCCCUUUAGUUAUUAGUAUAUCCCUUUAGUUAGAGGUAUCUCCCUUUAGUUAGGGGUAUCUCCCUUUAGUUAUUAUUAUAUCCCUUUAGUUAGAGGUAUCUCCCUUUAGUUAGGAGUAUCUCCCUUUAGUUAGGCAUAUCUCCCUUUAGUUAGGGGUAUCUCCCUUUAGUUAGGAGUAUCUCCCUUUAGUUAGGCAUAUCUCCCUUUAGUUAGGCGUACCCCUCUUUAGUUAGAGGUAUCUCCCUUUAUUAAACAAUGUGCUUUUCAAAUAGAGGUUUUUCCUGGCUGUCCUAAACCAAACUCACUAGCAAUAUGCUUAGUUAUCAGUCACAUCAGCAUCAGAUAACUAGAUUUACUGCAAUAACCACAUGCAACUAAUAUAGUACUUUCACUAUAAUAGUCAUUGUGACAGCUAUUAUUAAACUGCAAAAAUGAUAUGUAUGCAACUGAAAAUAUAUUGAAUAUGGACAAAGUGAUCUCACAUUUCCUAUUAUGAGAUUAUUAUCAAUGCAAUGUAAUAUUAUUCAGCUUGCUUGUAGAUGCUUUUACAUAUGUUCAGCUUCAAAUCUAUUAGCAGGUAAUAUAGCUUCUUUUGAUAGAAAUAAUUGUUUAAAAUUAGAACAAUGAUCUGCCAGUAGAACAAAGACUAUGUUAAGCUUGAACUGAGUAAAAAUGUCUAGAUCUAUUUAAUAAACACACACACACACACACUCACACACACACACACACACA
ensembl:lncRNA